GACGGGGGGGGCAAGCGUUCUUCGGAAUUACUGGGCGUAAAGGGCACGUAGGCGGCGAAUCGGGUUGAAAGUGAAAGUCGCCAAAAAGUGGCGGAAUGCUCUCGAAACCAAUUCACUUGAGUGAGACAGAGGAGAGUGGAAUUUCGUGUGUAGGGGUGAAAUCCGUAAAUAUACGAAGGAACGCCGAAAGCGAAGGCAGCUCUCUGGGUCCCUACCGACGCUGGGGUGCGAAAGCAUGGGGAGCGAACAGG
rnacentral:rRNA from 1 species